UAACCUGGUUGAUCCUGCCAGUAGUCAUAUGCUUGUCUCAAAGAUUAAGCCAUGCAUGUCUAAGUAUAAAGGUUUAUACAAUGAAACUGCGAAUGGCUCAUUCAAACAGUUAUAGUUUAUUUGAUAUUCGAAUUUAUAUUCAUAAUGGAUAACCGUAGUAAUUCUAGAGCUAAUACAUGCGUUACGGGGGACUUUUUGGAACCCCAGUAUUUAUUAAUUCUUCUUUAAACCAGUGCCUCGCAAGGGGCGUUGUGGUGAUUCAUGAUAACUGAUCGAAUCGCUGGGUCGUACCCGCGAUAACUCAUUCAAGUUUCUGCCCCAUCAGCUUGAUGGUAGUGUAUUGGACAACCAUGGCUUUCACGGGUAACGGGGGAUUAGGGUUCGAUUCCGGAGAGGGAGCCUGAUAAACGGCUACCACUUCUACGGAAGGCAGCAGGCGCGUAAAUUAUCCAAUCCUGAUUUAGGGAGGUAGUGACAAGAAAUAAUGAACUGGGAUUUAUCCCGGGGUUACAAUGGGCUUGAUUUGCAAACCUUAUUUUUAGCGAGGAACAAUUGGAGGGCAAGUCUGGUGCCAGCAGCCGCGGUAAUUCCAGCUCCAAUAGUGUAUAUUAAAGUUGUUGCAGUUAUACAAAGCUCGUAGUUGGACUUCUGAAGGUGGAGACUGGCGGGUGGCUAUGGCUGCUGCCGGUCGCUUCCUUCAUCCUUCUGUUAACAAGGAUCGGGAUUGAUUUUUCGGCCUUGGGCUCAGAUAUUUUACCUUUUAUUUGAGCAAAUUAUAGUGUUUCAGGCAGGCGUGCGCCGGAAUACAUUAGCAUGGAAUAAUCGAAUAGGACCGUGUUUCUUUUAUGGUUUCUUGAGGGGCAUGGUAAUGAUUAAUAGGAAUAGUUGAGGGGGCUAAAGUAUUUAAUUUCCAGAGGUGAAAUUCUUUGAAAUAUUAAAGACUAACGUAUGCGAAAGCAUUUGCCAAGAAUUUUUCUUUUAAUCAAGAACGAAAGUUAGGGGAUCAAAGACGAUCAGAUACCGUCCUAGUCUUAACCAUAAACUAUGCCGACUAGGGAUCGGGGGACGUGCACAUUCCGCCUUCGGCACCUUACGAGAAAUCAAAGUCUUUGGGUUCUGGGGGUAGUAUGGUCGCAAGGCUGAAACUUAAAGGAAUUGACGGAAGGGCACCACCAGGAGUGGAGCUUGCGGCUCAAUUUGACUCAACACGGGAAAACUUACCAGGUCCAGACAUAGGAAGGAUUGACAGAUUGAUAGCUCUUUCUUGAUUCUAUGGGUGGUGGUGCAUGGCCGUUCUUAGUUGGUGGUGUGAACUGUCUGGUAAUUCCGUUAACGAACGAGACCUUAGCCU
rnacentral:rRNA from 1 species